GCGAGAAAGGCAGGGGAAGGAGAAACCCUUCUCCUUCAACCUAGCACAAGGAAUUCAGAAAUUGAAGGUGUUGUUGAUCAAAAAUCGAAUGCAUGAAACUAGUUCUUCGCUAAUCUAAGCAUAUUGAACAUAAGGAUUGAAAGAAGAAGAAGCUAGUUCCGGUUCGCAACAAAAGGUUCAAGAGAGAGGUAAAUCCUCAAUUUAGGCGACUUGGCAAUUUGGAGCGAGCAAAUGCACACUUUAUGGUUAUCAAGCGCUUCCGCUAUUACGUAUUAAUGUUUUGGGUCAAAUGCUAGUUUUUGUAUAACAUUGUUAGUGGUUACACUUUCUAACACUUGAUGUAUGGUUCUUAGUCGUGUCUAGUUAAACGGGUUGUAGACUUGUUUGUUUGUUAAUGGUUAAAACAGGGAUAUGCUCGUCUUAUGGACGGGUCAUGCCCAAAUUUUGUUGAAAUCAUGCAUUAAUGAUAUAACGUUUUUACCAUUUAAAGAAAGAAA